CGCCAGGGGACUACGAGCUAAGCUUAAAACCCAAGGGACUUGACGGUACCCCACAUCCUUCUAGAGGAGCCUGUCCUAUAAUCGAUAACCCUCGUUCAACCUCACCGCUUUUAGUCUAUCAGCCUGUAUACUUCCGUCGCCAGCUUGCCGCAUGAGCGCCACCCAGCAAGCUUAAUGUACCCCCCCCAGUACGUCAGGUCAAAGUGCAGCAAAUAAAGUGGGAAGAGAUGGGCUACACUUUCUACAUUAGAAGAUACGAAAGACUUUAUGAAAUAAAUCAGAAGGCGGAUUUAGUAGUAAA
rnacentral:rRNA from 1 species